rnacentral:rRNA from 1 species
GGCUACCGGAGAAGUGCAUCGGAAACUGAUAAACUUGGGUGCAGAAAAGGAUAGUGGAACUUCAUGUGUAGCGGUGAAAUGCGUAGAUAUAUGAAGGAACACCAGUGGCGAAGGCGACUUUCUGGUCUGUAACUGACGCUGAUGUGCGAAAGCGUGGGGAUCAAACAGGAUUAGAUACCCUGGUAGUCCACGCCGUAAACGAUGAGUGCUAAGUGUUAGGGGGUUUCCGCCCCUUAGUGCUGCAGCUAACGCAUUAAGCACUCCGCCUGGGGAGUACGACCGCAAGGUUGAAACUCAAAGGAAUUGACGGGGACCCGCACAAGCGGUGGAGCAUGUGGUUUAAUUCGAUGCAACGCGAAGAACCUUACCAAAUCUUGACAUCCUUUGAAAACUCUAGAGAUAGAGCCUUCCCCUUCGGGGGACAAAGUGACAGGUGGUGCAUGGUUGUCGUCAGCUCGUGUCGUGAGAUGUUGGGUUAAGUCCCGCAACGAGCGCAACCCUUAAGCUUAGUUGCCAUCAUUAAGUUGGGCACUCUAGGUUGACUGCCGGUGACAAACCGGAGGAAGGUGGGGAUGACGUCAAAUCAUCAUGCCCCUUAUGAUUUGGGCUACACACGUGCUACAAUGGACAAUACAAAG